UGCGCAGGCGGUUCGGAAAGAAAGAUGUGAAAUCCCAGAGCUUAACUUUGGAACUGCAUUUUUAACUGCCGAGCUAGAGUAUGUCAGAGGGGGGUAGAAUUCCACGUGUAGCAGUGAAAUGCGUAGAGAUGUGGAGGAAUACCGAUGGCGAAGGCAGCCCCCUGGGAUAAUACUGACGCUCAUGCACGAAAGCGUGGGGAGCAAACAGGAUUAGAUACCCUGGUAGUCCACGCCCUAAACGAUGUCAACUAGCUGUUGGGGCCUUCGGGCCUUAGUAGCGCAGCUAACGCGUGAAGUUGACCGCCUGGGGAGUACGGUCGCAAGAUUAAA
rnacentral:rRNA from 1 species